rnacentral:rRNA from 1 species
CCUACGGGGGGCAGCAGUGAGGAAUAUUGGUCAAUGGGCGCGAGCCUGAACCAGCCAAGUAGCGUGAAGGAUGACUGCCCUACGGGUUGUAAACUUCUUUUAUAAAGGAAUAACGGGAGGCACGUGUGCCUUUUUGUAUGUACUUUAUGAAUAAGGAUCGGCUAACUCCGUGCCAGCAGCCGCGGUAAUACGGAGGAUCCGCGCGUUAUCCGGAUUUAUUGGGUUUAAGGGGAGCGUAGAUGGGUUGUUAAGUCAGUUGUGAAAUUUUGGGGCUCAACCGGAAAAUUGCAAGUGAGACUGGCAGUCUUGAGUACAGUUGAGGUAGGCGGAAUUCGUGGUGUAGCGGUGAAAUGCUUAGAUAUCACGAAGAACUCCGAUUGCGAAGGCAGCUUACUAAACUGCCACUGACAUUGAUGCUCGAAAGUGUGGGUAUCAAACAGGAUUAGAUACCCUUGUAGUC